rnacentral:rRNA from 1 species
UGGUGACUAUAGCAAGGAGGUCACACCUGUUCCCAUGCCGAACACAGAAGUUAAGCUCCUUAGCGUCGAUGGUAGUCGAACUCGAACCCGUCAUUCU